UUUUGGUGAAAUUUUAUGAAAAUGAGUUUAAAUGGUAAAUUUUUGUGUUUUACAAACAGAAUGUGUUUACAUGAAAAGAUUUUAUAAAUUGUCUUGAAAUUGAAUAACGAUUUUGAAAAUAGAGUAAUUGGAGACCACCGGUAUGUUGUAAAUUUAUGAUUGGAAAUUGAUAGCUUAUGCUAUAUUGUUAUUGUGUUGGCAUGACUG
rnacentral:lncRNA from 1 species